UCAUAAGCUUCCCAAGGAAGCUAUUGAAUUGACUUUACCUCACACCUAUCGUCCAAAGCAACACCAAAAGGUAAGAGUUGAAAAUCAAUUUCCUUUCUUCCCACUUACCUGUCGAUCUACACCCAAGGAAAAUGGAAAACUUCAUCUUCCUCUCCAAGCAAGCCAUAGCCAACCUUCACCUAUUUCCUUCCUCUUCUCUUUCCAUCUUCAAGAAAGCAAGUUCAUCUCACCACCUUCAAGCCUUGUGACUCCAUAGCAAGGGAAGAAGAAAAAUAUUUUCUCUCAUCCUCUUCAAGCCAUACGAGUAUACUCCCUCCCUACUCAUUUUCGGAUUUUGCCUCAAACCUUGGAACUAAAAUUUUGAUUUCGUCUUCUAAAUGGUGAAAUAUUGAAGUGAUGUUGUGUUGCUCUUCUUCCACACGGGUUUACCACUAUUUGGUCCUCCAUCUUGCCUCUUGAAAGGGGCUAACAGCUUAAGGUAAUGAUGAAAAGGCUGGGGAGCAAGGCAUUACUGCAGAGGGAGAGGCAGACGCUUAGGACCUUCCCUAACUAGGACAGUUGUGUUACGAAUGAUGGGUUAUGUUAUGUAAAGAUAUUUUAAUUUGGGAUGGACUCUGAGAGUCUCUUACGGAUGAAUGUUCGAAUAGACUGUCCAUUAGGUGUUCCCUUUUAUUAAAUGAAAAAUUUAGAGUGCACGUGUGUCAUGUCCAUGUCGAUCGCAUGUUAUUAGAAAAAGAAAGAAAAGAACAGCCAUGUAAGUCAGGAUUUCAUCCUUCCUGGGACGGGGUCGUGACAAGUAGAUUUACAUUUCUACUUUGUUGUUUAAUCGCAUGAUUUUGUCUUCAUAAAAAAA